AUUGAACGCUGGCGGCAGGCUUAACACAUGCAAGUCGAGCGGGGGAAGGUAGCUUGCUACCGGACCUAGCGGCGGACGGGUGAGUAAUGCUUAGGAAUCUGCCUAUUAGUGGGGGACAACAUCUCGAAAGGGAUGCUAAUACCGCAUACGUCCUACGGGAGAAAGCAGGGGAUCUUCGGACCUUGCGCUAAUAGAUGAGCCUAAGUCGGAUUAGCUAGUUGGUGGGGUAAAGGCCUACCAAGGCGACGAUCUGUAGCGGGUCUGAGAGGAUGAGCCGCCACACUGGGACUGAGACACGGCCCAGACUCCUACGGGAGGCAGCAGUGGGGAAUAUUGGACAAUGGGGGGAACCCUGAUCCAGCCAUGCCGCGUGUGUGAAGAAGGCCUUAUGGUUGUAAAGCACUUUAAGCGAGGAGGAGGCUACUCUAGUUAAUACCUAGGGGUAGUGGACGUUACUCGCAGAAUAAGUACCGGCUAACUCUGUGCCAGCAGCCGCCGUAA
rnacentral:rRNA from 1 species